rnacentral:rRNA from 1 species
AAUCAACGCUGGCGGCGUGCCUCAGACAUGCAAGUCGAACGAUUAAAGCUCUCUUCGGAGAGUGCAUAAAGUGGCGCACGGGUGAGUAACACGUAAGUAAUCUACCCUCGAGUGGGGAAUAACGUCCGGAAACGGACGCUAAUACCGCAUAAUGCAGCGGCACCGCAAGGUGACAGUUGUUAAAGAUUUAUCGCUUGAGGAGGAGCUUGCGGCAGAUUAGCUAGUUGGUAAGGUAAUGGCUUACCAAGGCUACGAUCUGUAACCGGUCUAAGAGGACGGUCGGUCACACUGACACUGAAUAACGGGUCAGACUCCUACGGGAGGCAGCAGUCGGGAAUUUUGGGCAAUGGGCGAAAGCCUGACCCAGCAACGCCGCGUGAAGGAUGAAGUAUUUCGGUAUGUAAACUUCGAAAGAAUGGGAAGAAUCAAUGACGGUACCAUUUAUAGGUCCGGCUAACUACGUGCCAGCAGCCGCCGCCGUAAU